rnacentral:rRNA from 1 species
AAGAGACAGCAGCAGCCGCGGUAAUACGGAGGGAGCUAGCGUUGUUCGGAAUUACUGGGCGUAAAGCGCACGUAGGCGGCUUUGUAAGUUAGAGGUGAAAGCCUGGAGCUCAACUCCAGAAUUGCCUUUAAGACUGCAUCGCUUGAAUCCAGGAGAGGUGAGUGGAAUUCCGAGUGUAGAGGUGAAAUUCGUAGAUAUUCGGAAGAACACCAGUGGCGAAGGCGGCUCACUGGACUGGUAUUGACGCUGAGGUGCGAAAGCGUGGGGAGCAAACAGGAUUAGAUACCCCCGUAGUCCCUGUCUCUUAUAC